GUCGGGCAUGGUAGUGCAUGCCUGUAGUCCCAGCUACUCAGGAGACUGAGGCAGGAGAAUUGCUUGAACCCGGGAGCCGGAGGUUGCAGUGAGCCAAGAUUGUGCCACUGCACUCCAGCCUGGGUGACAGAGCAAGACUCUGUCUCAG
ensembl:misc_RNA Metazoa_SRP Metazoan signal recognition particle RNA